GAAAUGCGAUAAGUCGUGUGAAUUGCAGAAUUCAGUGAAUCAUCGAAUCUUUGAACGCACAUUGCGCCCUUUGGUAUUCCUUAGGGCAUGCCUGUUCGAGCGUCAUCUAAACCUUCAAGCCCUGCUUGGUGUUGGGUGCCUGUCCCGCCUCCGCGCGCGGACUCACCUCAAAUCCAUUGGCGGCCCCCGCGUCGGCCACGAGCGCAGCAGAAACGCGAACUCGUGAGCCCGUCCGGGCGGCUCCCAGAAGCUACACCCACCCAGUUUGACCUCGGAUCAGGUAGGGAUACCCGCUGAACUUAAGC
rnacentral:misc_RNA from 1 species